rnacentral:sRNA from 1 species
CAUGCGUGAUCUGCUGCGGACUGAUAAAAUGGAUGUGCGUAUCAAUACCACCUGCAGUAGCUAUCAGGCCCGCACCGCCAUGUACUUCCGUGCUGGCGCCAAUGAUCAUAUCGGGGUCUACGCCAUCCAUGGUAUCUGGAUUACCUGCCUUGCCUAUCUUCACGAUCUUUCCAUCCCUGAUGCCAAUAUCUGCUUUCACGAUGCCCCAAUGGUCGAUGAUCAUCACACUGGUAAUGACCAUAUCCAGUACCCCCUCAUCGCGGGUUGCAGUGGAUGACUGGGACAUUCCGUCGCGGAUG